GCAGAAAUGUUAGGAAAGUCCAUGCUAGCACAGUCUGUGAUGACUGUAGUGUUUGUGCUGAUUGAAAAAAUAAAAUCAGGUACAUCUAUGAUGUAACGGCGAAAGAUGACCUAAGGCUUGCUAUGGUCUAUUUCAUAAAGUGCCACAGAGACGAGUAGAAGGAAACUUUGAAAUGAAACGUUGGUAAACCCCUCAAGCUAGAAACCCAAAUUUUGGUAGGGGAGCUAUAUGAAUCUAAUUAAGAAGAGGAUUAUGGAAGGUUUAUACCUUAGAUAAAUGAUUAGCGAAUACAAAACAUGGCUUAUAG
rnacentral:RNase_P_RNA from 1 species